rnacentral:rRNA from 1 species
CCUACGGGAGGCAGCAGUUAGGAAUAUUGGUCAAUGGGCUUAAGCCUGAACCAGCCAAGUCGCGUGAGGGAAGACUGCCCUAUGGGUUGUAAACCUCUUUUGUCAGGGAGCAACGCCGGCUACGUGUAGCCGGACUGAGAGUACCUGAAGAAAAAGCAUCUGCUAACUCCGUGCCAGCAGCCGCGGUAAUACGGAGGAUGCGAGCGUUAUCCGGAUUUAUUGGGGUUAAAGGUUGCGUAGGCGGAAUGCCAAGUCAGCGGUAAAAUCGCGGGGCUCAACCUCGCUCCGCCGUUGAAACUGGCGUUCUGGAGUGGGCGAGAAGUAUGAGGAAUGCGGGGUGUAGCGGUGAAAUGCAUAGAUAUCACGCAGAACUCCGAUUGCGAAGGCAGCAUACCGGCGCCCAACUGACGCUGAAGCACGAAAGCGUGGGUAUCGAACAGGAUUAGAUACCCCUGUAGUC